GGCAGCAUUUCCACUGAACUAAUCUUCCUUUAAUUCUACACAAACAAGUUGCUUAAGUUUGAUUACAAAAUGCAUCCUCAGACACACACAGAGUUUCCUUCCCACCCCACUGACACCAGAGGGUGACACCAGAGAGCACAGGAAACUGGUAUUAGAGGGGCUGCAUGGUGAGAGGCUCCUUCCCGUGGAUUCAGAGCCCAGAGGCUCCCCCUUCCCACAGACUGAGGCACAACACUGACAGAGGCAAUACAAGUGAUAUAGUUGGCAGUGUAGCUUUGUGGGUGACUCUUCCAGGAACAAUACCAGCAGCCUGUCUCUUGGGCAUCAGCUUCUCACUAACUGUAUGGACACUCACAUCACACUUGCGCCUGUUUUGUAAGGUGUAGGACUGCCCUGCUGGCUGCUGCUCAGACUGAGGGAGGGUGUGGGGGGAGCACAGGGCCGGCAGAUCGCUCACCAUUAGGACCCAGGAGCAGCUUUUUCUUCCUGCACACUGUGACUGAAGUUUGCAGGGAUCGUUUUCAAUGUGAGGCCCGCCUCCUGCCUGUGAUGUUCCUCUGUCAGGGAAGAGCAAACGAGCGCCAGAACAACCAAACAGCUGCAGACAGCCUCAUACUGAUCUGGGCUCUGAAAAAACUGGGUUGCCCUGUCUGAUGCACAACCUUCCCAUUCUGUACUGUGAGCAGAUAAAUGUGGAGUCAUUGCUUGUUGACCCCAUUGGAAGAAUCUGGCCUCCUAUGGGGAAGGAGAAUCAUCUUGCAAUGUUGGUUUGUUCCAACCAAAGACUCUCAAGUGCCUGUAAUUGAUUUGUAAAAAAUUAUAAAUAGGUACAUUUAAAGAGGUUUGAUGCACAUACCCAGCAUUGCAGGGAUUUGUAUGUUACACCUUGUACAUGUGGACUAGUUGUCUUUUUCUUGUGUCGAUAUAUAUAGUGGCCAUGUAAGAUGGACAGUGAAAACCAUCUCCAGAGUGACAAUGAAAGAGGACAAGGACCAUGUCUUGAGCAAAGCUGUAGUUUUCUGUUUCUGUAGCAGGUGAAAUAAAUUACUACCAAAUGGUAA